rnacentral:rRNA from 1 species
UACGUAGGGCGCAAGCGUUAUCCGGAAUUAUUGGGCGUAAAGCGCACGUAGGCGGCUUUCUAAGUCAGGGGUGAAAUCCUGGAGCUCAACUCCAGAACUGCCUUUGAUACUGGAGAGCUUGAGUCCGGAAGAGGUGAGUGGAACUCCGAGUGUAGAGGUGAAAUUCGUAGAUAUUCGGAAGAACACCAGUGGCGAAGGCGGCUCACUGGUCCGGUACUGACGCUGAUGUGCGAAAGCGUGGGGAGCAAACAGG